rnacentral:rRNA from 1 species
GGAAGUCUUCCACAAUGGGCGCAAGCCUGAUGGAGCAACACCGCGUGAGUGAAGAAGGGUUUCGGCUCGUAAAGCUCUGUUGUUAAAGAAGAACACGUAUGAGAGUAACUGUUCAUACGUUGACGGUAUUUAACCAGAAAGUCACGGCUAACUACGUGCCAG